rnacentral:rRNA from 1 species
CAGUCGCCACGGGAAUACGUAGGGUGCGAGCGUUAAUCGGAAUUACUGGGCGUAAAGCGUGCGCAGGCGGUUUGUUAAGACAGAUGUGAAAUCCCCGGGCUCAACCUGGGAACUGCAUUUGUGACUGGCAAGCUAGAGUGUGGCAGAGGGGGGUGGAAUUCCGCGUGUAGCAGUGAAAUGCGUAGAUAUGCGGAGGAACACCGAUGGCGAAGGCAGCCCCCUGGGCCAACACUGACACUGAGGCGCGAAAGCGUGGGGAGCAAACAGGAUUAGAGACCCCAGUAGUCCCUGUCUCUUAUAC